UCAAAGAUAGGGUGGUUGUUCAGAUUAUCGAAGAGGUAAUAAAUCAACAAUUUGGUUCAAUAAUUGUGGAAAUGGAAUGCAAAUUUUGUAGUAUUUUUUUUAUGUUCUCUGUUUUAGGGUUCCCAGUUCAUAGCAGCUUAUUAACCCCAAUGGUUGCUCUGCCUUUUCUUGCUAAUUAAUAGUUGAUGACAUAGUGGAUUAAUGUAUUUCAAAGUUGGGUUGUUGAAAUUUAAGAACACUCCUGUAAAACUGUUUUAUAGUGUGUUUUGUCAACUCACCCUUCAAUUACAAAAUUCACUGAUUCAUGCAAUCACAUUUAACUAUUUAUGUACGAUUUUCUUUUCAGUUUUCUGAGUGUUUGAUUUUGUAUUUUUUUUAUAAAGUCUACAUAAAUGGCUACUAGAGAUCCACUAUAUAAGCGACUGGCCUUCCUUCUUUUCUUUCGCUAUCCUUUGUUUAACAUUUUCAUUUCACCAACUCCUCACCUUCAAGAGAAAUAGAAAGACAUUCAAAAAUGGCUACUAAAGUCAACAUUGUGUAUGCAUUUUCUCUCUAAAAAUAUCACUGCUUUAUUUCUGUUUUGUUUCUUGAUAUUGUUCUGGGUUUUCUGCUUCAAUUUUUGCUUUGCUUUUGAUUUGUUAUUUUGUAAAUGUCUAACUUACAUGAAUCGAUUAUGGGUUGUUUUGAAUUAAUUUUAUGUUGUUUAUAUGAUUUGGCAGUAAUUAAUUUUGAUUAUGUUUUGUAUAUUGUUGGGUUAAUGGUUUUAUUUCUUGAAAUUCUGCCAAAUUAUUUACAUUUCACUAAUGUUAAUUACCCAUCAUCUCUAUUUUCUUUAAGUUACAAAUCUGGAUUGGCACUAA
rnacentral:lncRNA from 1 species